CACAGCUUAAAGCCGGUUUUAGCGACUAAGUCGGGAUAAUUCUUAUCAACGACCUAAUCGCGGUUCAACACAGUGCGAACGAUAGAACAGGUAGAAAGAAUUGUGGACUUCUGCAUGGUAGAGAUGAUUCUUUCCGGGUUGUGAAGUUGGAGUUUUUUAAGGCUUUGAACAAGGUUUACGUCUACUAGGCCGUUACAGGUAAGUAUUAUUGGUAAUAUAAAAGUCUUGCUCAAAUCGUAUAUCGCUUUUAGUUCUUGUGCCAGUGCUUCAUAUUUUGUGAUUUUCUCUUUUCUUGCAUUUUUAAUAUUUUCGUCUAGUGGUAUUCUGAUAUCCAGCAGGUAAGCAUGUUUCUGUUUUUUAUAGAAGACUACUAUAUCAGGUCUAUUAUGCUGCACAGUACGAUCUGUGAUGAUGUCAGUAUCCCAGUAUACUUUUACGUUUUCGUUUUCUACUAUUUUUUCAGGUAAGUAUCGGUAGUACGGUGUAAUUUCAUUUAAAAGAUUUUCUUUUUUGCAGAUUUCUUGGUGUAGAAUACCAGCCACCCGGUUGUGCCUGUCCAGAUAAUGCCGCGGUGCAAGAUAGGUACAUCCAGAGCAGAUGUGUUGAAUUGUUUCCGGAAAGGCAUUGCAUAGUCGGCAUCUGUCAUUAGGUUGUCCAUAAAUUCCCUUAGGAUACGAACGGAACCAGCUUCCAAGUUAUUUUGUCGGAUGAUAUCAUUUACUAUUCGUUUGGUUCUGUUCGACGGGUUAUCAUUUGUUAGUCUCCUCUUCCAAGGUGGUAUUUGAGGUUUAUGAUUUGAUGAUUGCGCCAUCUCUCCUAUCCUCAAUCCGGUAACAUGACAGACAGCAGCAGCGGCGCAGUAGAUUAAAUCACAUGUGUCCUGAAGAGAUAAACUUUGCGGAAGCCUUGGACGACUUAAGAAGUCAACACCACUAUAUUUCAUACGGUACUCUUCAAAUAUCCGUCCAAUUUCUUCGGUUACUAUAUUUUCUUCAGGGUGUGGUAUGACCGAGUGCCGUGAUUGUCUGCGAAUUGAAGACGCGUGUUCACGGGAUUGAGGUGUGUUGUGGGUGGUCUCUGAAAUUUCAUUUAGGUUGUCAUUCUGUUCCUGUUCCGGGUCUUGUGUUUCUGCUAGUACUGCUUGCUUUAGAUGAUCCAGUUCUGCGUUUGAUAUGACUUUUCUACGUAAUACUGAGCGUAAUUGGUCUGCAAGUUGUUGCGAUUCUCUAGGGAAAUCGGGUCUAAGACUGAUCCACUGUUCAUAAAGCCGUAUUCUAUAUCCUGUCUUGUUCUGUUCGCCAUUAGUUGCCCUGUAGUAUGCGCGUAUCAAAUCUAGGUUAUCAUUCCUGGUCCAGCGCACACGUCUCGUGCGGGGCUGCGGGUUAGGAACGGGGUCAUUUUGAGUACGACCCAAGUUUUCUAACCCUCCAUUAUCGGUGCUUUGUCCGUUUCCGUCGCGUGACCUUGUGGUACGAUUUCGCGUUGGGGCGCCACUUGCUUCGCCUACCUCCGCUAAGGUCGGUUCAGUCUGGCGAACAGGCGCCGAUCCUCCACCUGUCGCAUCCGAGGCUUGUUUUCUAGUUUGUAGAACCGAUUAUUUUAUCUUCCCUUGAAGGGUGGUUAGCCCGCCAAAGGAGUAGUUGUGACCGUCUAGGGUCAAGUUUUGUGUUAUGUGUCUGUAUGGGGAUAGGUGUAUGGGAAGAUAGUCUGUAUUAGUGGAGCCCGCUCCCGUCGGGGUAUGGCACAGGCUGUACGGCUUGCCCUGGGUACCGUAGCGGACACAGUAAAGAACCCUAUCCCGGUUA